rnacentral:rRNA from 1 species
UGACCUCAAAUCAGGUAGGACUACCCGCUGAACUUAACAUAUCAUAAGCGGAGGAAAGAAACUAACAAGGAUUCC